rnacentral:rRNA from 1 species
UACGUAGGGGGCAAGCGUUGUCCGGAAUUAUUGGGCGUAAAGAGCGCGUAGGCGGUCCGAUAAGUCGGCUGUGAAAGUCAAGGGCUCAACCCUUGAAAGCCGGCCGAUACUGUCGGACUAGAGUCCGGAAGAGGCGAGUGGAAUUCCCGGUGUAGCGGUGAAAUGCGCAGAUAUCGGGAGGAACACCUAUGGCGAAGGCAGCUCGCUGGGACGUUACUGACGCUGAGACGCGAAAGCGUGGGGAGCAAACAGG